rnacentral:lncRNA from 1 species
ACUCAAGUUCUCGUGAAUGCUUGGGCCAUUGGAAGAGACCCAAAGUCAUGGGAAAAGCCACUGGAGUUUAUGCCUGAAAGAUUCAUCAAAUCAAGUGUGGAUUACAAAGGUAGGAACUUUGAAUUUAUACCAUUUGGUGCUGGCAGGAGAAUUUGUCCCGGAAUGUCACUUGCUAUAAGGAUGGUGAAUUUGAUGUUGGCUUCUAUUAUUCAACCACUUAAUAAUUGUUCAGUAGCAAGACUGUAAAGUGGAAGAUAUAAUAAGCAGAGUUAUUGUUCAGUAUGGAAGAAACGAGUUCGCCCUAACAGCAAAAUUCACCUGUUUGCAGAAAAAAGCAACAUUAAGUACUAGUAUUGACGAACUUGCCCUCCAUUAUCCAACUAUAGCUCAGCAGGAAUCUGGUGAGUGAAGCAAAGUUGAGACUUAUGCUAGUUUCUUUAGAUUCAUUUAGGCUUUACAUUCACCAUCUUAAGAUACUAUAGAAGCAUCUCAUAUACGUCUGUUUAUUAUUCUACAGUUCUUCUAUCUUCCGAAAUUUAUUCGAAUAAAAGGGCAGCCCGGUGCACAAAGCAUCCCGUAUUCAUGCAGGGUCACGGAAAGGGACACACCUUAAGGGUGUGAUGUAGACAGUCUACCCUAAUGCAAGCAUUAGCGGUUGUUUCCACGGCUCGAACCUGUGACCUAUAGCUCACGCGGAGACAACUUUACCGUUGCUCCAAAGCUCACCUUCAAUACCUUAAAAUUUUGUAGCUUACCGUAGAGGAAGAUAAUAACUAAAAUUAUAUUCUUUAAGCAACUUAUAACCCAGAGAACUGCAUAAAUUGGGAAUAUGUUCUAAAUUGUUGUUACUUGUAUUUAAGUCCUUGCCUAUUGUACCCUUCAGAAAUCUCUUCUUCUCUAUUCGCAGUACUGUAUUGAUGAAAGAACUUAAUUAGUAGUCAUCAUUGUACCAUCACCUAGGCAUAGAGCAGAAACAUCAAGUAUCAAAUUGUUCAGACAAAGAGUUAGUUCUUCAUUUAGAAUUUUUUUGUACAACUGCUCAUCAUAUUUCUAUUUGGUACAUUUCAUUAGCGACGUUUAAUGGUUCUGACUUCUGAGUUGUUUGUUAAUAGACUAAGCACCAAUCUUUAUCACGCAAUGCAAUAACAGCCCCUAAGAUACUCCAUUUUUAUGCGCACUAUCUAACAUCGCCAACUCUCGCCACCGCACCUCAGCCCAAGAUACCUCCAAAAAACAAAGAAGCCAUUGACGUAGACAGAACAACACCAACCAAUACCAGUUGUACUACACAAAUAAACUCAAAAUUCAGUCACUACGUAUAUUAUACAGCAGAUUAAGGAAUAACAUGUCAGAGGCAUUUAGGCUUGGGAUAAAAUAGAAUUAAUUGUCAGAUAAAAAGAAGUAACUUGUAAAUUUUUAAGAUAAUUCAUGGUUCUAUCAUAUGAAAGAAUUUUUUUUCCAGUUCCGACGGGGAAAAGUGGCUUCCACCUAGAAAGCAAGUAGUUGCUUACUGUGUUUCACUGUUCACAAGCAGCCAAGAAAUAUUGCAGAAGUGAAAUCGACUUACCCUAACCAAGACUUGCGCAAAUUCUGCGAAAUCAUUUGUAAAGUUGUUGAAAUCAUCAUUCUCGCUAACUGUAUAAACCACUGAAAAAGGAUUUGAAUUUGAGAUGUGAGCACAUACAGUCAUAUAUGGAGUCACAAUUUCAAAUUAGGGCAUUUGGGUCGAUAACACAUGGGUCAUAAUUUGUGAUUUGAGCGGAGAGAAAAUGGAGUGGGGGAAAUUUCUGGAGAGAUAUGAGCAAAGAGAAGAACCCAUAA